rnacentral:rRNA from 1 species
AGCAGCCGCGGUAAUUCCAGCUCCAAUAGCGUAUAUUAAAGUUGUUGCAGUUAAAAAGCUCGUAGUUGAAUUUCGGGAUCAAUAUGUCGGUCGUGCCUCCGGUACGUACUGGCAUCAUUGAUUUCUCCCUUCUGACGAACCAUGAUGUCAUUAAUUUGGUGUCAUGGGGAGUCAGGACUGUUACUUUGAAAAAAUUAGAGUGUUUAAAGCAGGCUCACGCUUGAAUACAUUAGCAUGGAAUAAUGAAAUAGGACGUUUGAUCCUAUUUUGUUGGUUUCUAGGAUCGACGUAAUGAUUAAUAGGGAUAGUUGGGGGCAUUAGUAUUCAAUUGUCAGAGGUGAAAUUCUUGGAUUUAUUGAAGACUAACUACUGCGAAAGCAUUUGCCAAGGAUGUUUUCAUUAAUCAAGAACGAAAGUUAGGGGAUCGAAGACGAUCAGAUACCGUCGUAGUCUUAACCAUAAACUAUGCCGACUAGGGAUCGGAUGAUGUUAAUUUUUAAUGACUCAUUC